rnacentral:rRNA from 1 species
AAGUCGAAACAAGGUCUCCCGUUGGUGAACCAGCGGAGGGAUCAUUACUGAGUACUACACUCUCUACCCUUUGUGAACUAUUAUACCUGUUGCUUCGGCGGCGCCGCAAGGGUGCCCGCCGGUCUCAUCAGAAUCUCUGUUUUCGAACCCGACGAUACUUCUGAGUGUUCUUAGCGAACUGUCAAAACUUUUUAACAAACGGAUCUCUUGGCUCCAGCAUCGAUGAAGAACGCAGCGAAACGCGAUAUGUAAUGUGAAUUGCAGAAUUCAGCGAAUCAUCGAAUCUUUGAACGCACAUGGCGCCUUCCAGUAUCCUGGGAGGCAGCCUGUCCGAGCGUCGUUUCAACCCUCGAGCCCCUGUUGGCCCGGCGUUGGGGAUCUGCCACGGCAGGCCCCUAAAACCAGUGGCGGACCCGAAGGGCCCUCUCCUUUGCGCAGUAGCAUUCGCCUCGCAUCGGGAGUCCUCGGCGUCCUGCCUCUAAACCCCCCACAAGCCCGCUUCGGCGGCACCAAGGUUGACCUCGGAUCAGGUAGGAAUACCCGCUGAACUUAA